ensembl:snoRNA SNORD79 Small nucleolar RNA SNORD79
AACUGUCAAUGAUGAUUUUUGUUUAUUAAAACAAUGGGAAUCUCUCUGAAAAAGUGUGAAAGAGGACUUUUUUCUGAUGCAGUG